rnacentral:lncRNA from 12 species
CCCUGGAAAGGCUGGGCUGGGGGAAGUGCUGGGGUUCCCUUUGCCCCUCCAGUAGAUUUUUGUAACUUAUUUUAGUCUCUGGGUGCAUUUGUCAGUCUGUGCUGUGCACUCUGCUGUGAGUGUGUUUGGCACUGCCUGCUCCUGUUGGGAACUCUGCUGUUUACUGGGUGGUUUCUGUGUUCUCACCCAUCCCCUGGGUGCUCCUGCUCGGGGAAUCCCUCCUGUUCUUCCCCCCUGCCCCUUUCUGGCUGAGCCUGCCCUCCCAUCCCGCUCCCUGCUCUCACAGAGCUCCUUGGGCCCCUCUUCUCCUCGCUCGCAUUCCUGCAAAUUUAACAUGACUGCACAGGCUCGGCAAUCCCUUCCUGUUUCGAGGGAAGUCAAGCCAAUUUGCCUCUUCUCACAAAGUGCCUGGCUCUCCCAGGCACGCAGAAAAGCCCAUCCAACAGCCUUGAAGAGAUGCAGCUUGAUUUUUCUGAGGUCUUGUUUAGCAUUGCAGAAAUACUCCAUGGGAAUGCUGCAGAAAACCCCAGCAGGUGCCUCUGCUCUGCUGCCUCUCUGUGCAGUUAUUAUUAGAAAUUAACGUUCCCAGGGUUUUUAUUCACUUGCUGAGGGCCACACAGCCUGUCCAGGAUCACAGCCUGCCCCCCAAACAGGCUCGGUGCUUUUUGUUAGGGAGCUGCAUCCCUGCUCCUUGUCAUUCAUAUCUGGGUUUUUGUGCCUCUUUCAUUUUUUUCCCUGUGGCCUGGCCAGGCUGUUCCUGUUCAGCUGAUCACUAAAUAACAUUUGGUCUGUGGUGGAAGUGUUUCCAGUCUAUCUGCUCUUCACUUCUCGUCUGUGUCAGGCACAAAUUGCAAGACUACCAGAGACAGGAUCCGUUUCAUUUUUUGGGGUGGAAGUAGAGAGGUGGCAUCUCUGUAUUUUCUGCUCUCCCCUCUGUAGUCAAGGCAAGGAAGGGGUCUCUCCCUUCCUUUGAUAUCCCAUUUUUCUUCCAAUUCCUGCAGCUGAAAGCAUGAACUGCAGGGAUGGAGCAGCAAAGGAAAAGGGGGAGGGCAGAGGAAUUCCAGCAGUGCCUGGGGUGUGCCCUGAUCGGGACAGGAGCCAAGAAACCUCCCGUGCCUUGAGGCUCAGCAGCACAAAACGGGCUGAAAACUCCCUGGAGCCCUCACAAAACCAAAGGCAGGACGAGCAGUGGGUUUGUGCCAGCUCUGCUGGGGCGUGCUGGGCUGGGGCUCCUCACUAGUGCAAAACCACCAGAAAAGAGAAGCUGGGCUGGGGGCUCCUCACUUGUGUAAAACCACCAGAAAAGGGAAACUGGGCUGGGCUGAGGCUCCUCACUAGUGCAAAACCACCAGAAAAGAGAAGCUGGGCUGGGGGCUCCUCACUUGUGUAAAACCACCAGAAAAGGGAAACUGGGCUGGGCUGAGGCUCCUCACUAGUGCAAAACCACCAGAAAAGAGAAGCUGGGC